AUUCCAGCGCCUGCGCCACACUGGAUUACAACCUGGAGAGAGAAAAAUUUGCUUUUUAAAAGUAGGACACGUGUCACACAAUGGUUGGCUGGCGUGAUUUUUGUUCGUUUAAUACUUUGAACUCAAUUAUUUCGUUGUAAAUUAAUUUUUUAUUUUUUUAUUUUUAUACCAAAAUUCAUAAUUUUUUUUUGUCUACAAAUAGAGACUUGGUUCGUUUGAUUUGGACACCGAAAAAA
rnacentral:lncRNA from 1 species